rnacentral:rRNA from 1 species
GAUGAACGCUGGCGGCGUGCCUAAUACAUGCAAGUCGAGCGAAUGGAUUAAGAGCUUGCUCUUAUGAAGUUAGCGGCGGACGGGUGAGUAACACGUGGGUAACCUGCCCAUAAGACUGGGAUAACUCCGGGAAACCGGGGCUAAUACCGGAUAACAUUUUGAACCGCAUGGUUCGAAAUUGACAGGCGGCUUCGUCUGUCACUUAUGGAUGGACCCGCGUCGCAUUAGCUAGUUGGUGAGGUAACGGCUCACCAAGGCAACGAUGCGUAGCCGACCUGAGAGGGUGAUCGGCCACACUGGGACUGAGACACGGCCCAGACUCCUACGGGAGGCAGCAGUAGGGAAUCUUCCGCAAUGGACGAAAGUCUGACGGAGCAACGCCGCGUGAGUGAUGAAGGCUUUCGGGUCGUAAAACUCUGUUGUUAGGGAAGAACAAGUGCUAGUUGAAUAAGCUGGCACCUUGACGGUACCUAACCAGAAAGCCACGGCUAACUACGUGCCAGCCGCCGCCGUAA